rnacentral:sRNA from 1 species
CUUUAACAAUCUGGAACAAGCUGAAAAUUGAAACCUGGCAGCUGAAACUUAUCCCGCCGUAGAAGUACUGGGGUAAGGACUAACCUGUCAGAGAGUCUCUCAAAUGUUUGCAGCACGAAAGUGGAAACACCUUCGG